AAUUGUUGGACGGGAGGGGGGUUACCAUAAUAUUGGGGUUAAUUGUUCACAAGAAAUUUUGACCAUAGAUUAUUCUUCUGUAUCAAAAUUUUGACAGGCUUUGGCAACUAGAGCUUUCGCAAAUUUUAGGAGAUUGAAUUUGGUAACUUGAAUGGAGUUCUUCACCAUUUCCAUGAUUUGGCUUUACUAUGCCUGCAUUUUCAUGUCUCAAGAAGGGAGCUUUACUUUGAUUUAGCUGAAAAUGGGGAGGAAAAGUUAUCAGAAACUCAUUCAUCAGUGGAGAAUUCUAAGAGGAGGUCAUGAUUAUAAGGCGAAACUGGUAUCGUUAAGCGUGUCGUACGUCCUCAAAAUCGUGUGAUUGUCGAGGGGAAAAACCUGGUUAGCAAAUUUGUGACACUUUUUAUAUCUCAAAGGCUAUCUGUAGGAGUCUGCUUCACUAGUUUGAACCUCAAAAUGACCUUUCAUGGAUUGGAUUUAGCAUACAGCAAGCAAAAAUCAAUUGGUGGUGUUUCAAACAGCAGCUUGUUGACUGUCCCACUUAAGGAUAGCUGGAUUAAGGCUAGAACUGUUAAUUUACAAAGAAGCGCUAUAUUUUGACUGUGGUGCAAGGGAGAUACUAAUCUAACAUGAAAUUGUAGCUGUCAUGAGGGAUGCAUUGGAGCCGAAGUACAAGUGGUCGUCUGGGUUGUCGCACAGCCCCAAACCUAGGGGCAACUUCUCUUCUGUCAAGUCACAGCCUGCCGUUUAAUGCAGGUGUACAAAGCCCAAAGGAAGCUGGAUAUGAAUUAUCAGGAUCCAACGAGGAACAACAAAUCUCUGCAAGGCUCUGUUAACCAAUAACUAAAAUAUCGACCUCCCGGAAGGAACAUUCCAAUGAUUGCUUCUGGAGUUAAAAGUUUUGCCAUUUCUGGUCCAGCUAAGAAGCUGGGGAACAUUAGCAUUGGCUCUGGCAAGAGGACCUGUAAAGCAGGCAGUAGUUAAGUCAAUGAUGGCUGGUGGGUGGCAUGGGCAGCUUGACUUGUUCCAUGGCUAUCUAUCUACUACGUAUCAUAGGAUAGAACUCACCAAGCAUCUUAAGGCGUGUAUAACUUAAAUCCUUCUAUCAUUAUAUCUUUUGUGCAUAAUAUCUUGUUGCCCCGGCUAAAGCAAACUUGAAACUCAAGACAGUUCCACACCAUGCUGGUUUUAGUUUGGUUUAGGAAAUCUUUAGAUCUUUCAUUUGUAAUCUUACUAAGCACUUGCUAGAAACUAAAGGUGAGACAAAUGGCUAGUUCGGGUUAACUUUUGGCGGGUGAAAACUGGUCUAGUAAAAGAAUCGGUCACACCUUAUUGUUUCAAAAUUUGAUUGGAGAACAAAGUCGCUCACACUCAGUUAACACAACAAGGAGACUAAACUUUCCACAGAUUAAACCAAUUUCAGAUUAGCAGUUUUCUAGUUUUGAACACACCAGUAACAAAAAUCCAAACUACUUUUGAGUUUUGCGGGUGGAUCAGGCCAGCCUACCGUUAAAGAAUAUACAACUUAAUCACUUAGAUAAGUUUUUACUGUAUAAAAUACUGCACCCUGUUAUGUACUAACAAAAUCUCAAACCACAGCUAACAAUGUGUUUGGAGAAAAUAUUUUCUUAAAAAAUGUUGAUUUCUUACUUAUUUUCUAGUGUUUGGUGAGUAAGCAAAAUGAAAAUGUUAUCUCAAAAGCAUUUAUAUGUGAUCUAGACAAAAGCUAUAAAGGUGAGAGAGGUGGGGUGUGGGACAUCGAUAGUGGCCGAAAUGGGGUGGUGAAGGGGCAGGAGUUGGAGCAUUGGGUCAUCGAUGUCACUUGUAGCAGGCUACAAUAAACAUAAAUUAUUACUUGUAAAACUGGUUUUCCUACUUCAAUUAAGGAAGUGAUUUUCCUCAUUUUUAACACAAAUUGUACUCCCUUUAAUUAUGUUACUCGUAUCUCUAUUUAAAUUACCACCCAUUUAUAUUUAGUCAAGGAAUAUAUAAUUUUCAACACUACCUCAACGUUUUCUUCUGCUAAACUAACAGCUUGUUUGGAUGGUUUUUUACCUACUUUAUGCUAUUGUGUUAUUAGUCUAAAUACAAUGUUUGUUUGAUUAUUACUUAAAUUUUUUGUAUCGUAUUUAAUAAAUUCAUCGUAAAUGUGGCAAUGAAAAGUCCCAUUUUAUAUU